GGGGAUGAUCGGCCUAGACAAUGAGCCCUUUUAAAUUAUGCGGGACGAGUAUUNNNNNNNNNCACUUCGGCUAAUUUCUGAUAGGCCGAAAGUGAUGUCAUUUAUCAGGAUAAAAAAUCCGAAUUCUCGGCGGAUUUUUGAAAAAUUAGAGAAUAUACACACAAAGAUUUGGCUCGUUUAAUACUUUAUGUAUGAACAAAACAAACAAGCUACUCCCGUAGAAUUAAUUUGAAAACCUUAUUGCACGGCGGUUCGAUUCCGCCCAUCUCCACCA
rnacentral:tmRNA from 1 species